UUCCUUCUCCAGCUCAUUUGAUAGAAGAGGAAAUUGAGCAACUUUCCUAUUGGAAACGGAAAAAAACAAAAACAAAAAGGAAGAAGAAAAGAAACCCGCCUAUUCUGAUUGCUACAAGUGGAGACCCGACCAUGGGCUAGCUACAAGGCUCUUUGGUGAAUACAGAGAUGCCUUCACCUGCCAGCUGCCAGUUGCCUGCCCUUGUUGAAGGCCUUCGCAAACUCUAAAAGGGGAAGAGGAAGAACGUAUCUUUCAAGAAAACCUAAUUGGCAUGGACACAGCUCGAGCGUGAACUCUCUUCUGUUUUUCAGCAGGCAGGGGGUGGAUCACACCAUUCUUAUACGAACUGUCUGCUCUGCUCUCUGCAGUAGGUGCUUAAUAAACCUUCAUCGUAUUGUAAUGUACUGUCUAUUCCCAUGGGCAAGGGCUGUGCUCAACCCAAAUGCUGAGCAACAAAAUUCGUCAGCAUCAUAACUAAGUCCCUUCCUGUCUGCCUACAUUAUACACAGAAGGGAAUUGUCUCAGCAGUGGGCUAACAGGGAAUAUUCUCUCUUACCCAGGCUCCCCUGAUUCUGCCUUGGGUCUGGUGGUCAAAAGCAGUCAAUGGGACUUUUGGAGCUGCAAUGGGAGGAGUGUGGAGAUGCCUCUCACUCAGCCUCUUAUUUUAGCCUAUAUCCUGGGUGCUGCAGUUUACUAAAUUCUUUGAUCUCUCUGAGGACCAUUUAAAUUAAAGCUCAUAACCACUGUGUGGGCAUAUAAUGAAAGCAACUGAUGCUGCACUGAUUAAUCCAUUACUCUCAACUGUUAGAAAACAUAAUGAUCUCACAAGGGGCCUUAUUCACUGACGUAUAGCAGUCGGGUUCUAAUUUGACACCUCAAAUUAGCAGCCAAAGCAAUAACAGCUGGGGUUUUUGUCUCAAUAUUUGUACCCAACUCGAAAGUGAUUUGGCACUGGGUGAGCGUUAUUUUUAAACACAGAGCUCUCACCGCCAAGUAACAUUUUAAAUGUUCUCCAGGUGUCAUGUAAAACCUACAGAAAUAAAUAAAAACAAUC